rnacentral:rRNA from 1 species
AUUGAACGCUGGCGGCAGGCCUAACACAUGCAAGUCGAGCGGAUGAAGGGAGCUUGCUCCUGGAUUCAGCGGCGGACGGGUGAGUAAUGCCUAGGAAUCUGCCUGGUAGUGGGGGAUAACGUCCGGAAACGGGCGCUAAUACCGCAUACGUCCUGAGGGAGAAAGUGGGGGAUCUUCGGACCUCACGCUAUCAGAUGAGCCUAGGUCGGAUUAGCUAGUUGGUGGGGUAAAGGCCUACCAAGGCGACGAUCCGUAACUGGUCUGAGAGGAUGAUCAGUCACACUGGAACUGAGACCCGGUCCCGACUCCUACGGGAGGCAGCAGUGGGGAAUAUUGGACCAUGGGCCGAAGCCUUAUCCCGCCAUGCCGCGUGGUUGAAGAAGGUCUUCGGAUUGUAAAGCACUUUAAGUUGGGAGGAAGGGCAGUAAGUUAAUACCUUGCUGUUUUGACGUUACCAACAGAAUAAGCACCGGCUAACUUCGUG